ACACAAGAAGGAGGUAAUUAAGCCAUUUCAUUCCAGUGUUUAGUACCUGUGCACUAAACCACAAACUCAAACUCGAGGCCUGGAGUUUGAUACUAGUUACUGUCAUUUUGCGCCUCACCAUGAGAAAAUAUAAGUUUUCACGACUUUUACUCGAUGACCAGGUGACAAGGUAGCACUUUGUAAAGUAUGCAGAAAAAAAAUAUAAGUAUGACCUGGAACGGCUUGAAUGUUAUCAAACCAAACCGAGCAGAGCAACUACCGUUCAUUAGCUGCGGAUUCCUGCGCAGGGGAGCAGAAUAUUUCGUUUUCUUUGGUGCGACACGAAACGACACAACUGCAACUUCAAGCUCAGCAGCGAGCAUGAGUAUGGCCGUCACACCUCAGCUGAAAGCAGCAUUACCAGCAACGCGACGGGUGGCGCAGACAGGCAGCAGACCUUCCUGACACGGUCAACCUCUGAGCUGAGCUUCUCUGGCGCCUGAACACCGCUGUUUCUAAGAUGAUCAAAACUGCUGGAGACAUAACCUGAAAGACUGACUGAGGGGAAACUAAAUAGGAAUAAGAUGGGAGACAAGAGGACACGUGAGGACCAAUGCGCAGUUGGCGAGUCCUCUAUGAUGCUCAAUAGAAGUGAGUUUGCUGAAAACAGCCAUGCGUUGUGGUUUCAUCGGAGCCAUUAUAGAUUUUUCCCUAGUCCUUCUGCUGUAGGAAGAGUCUCUGACCAGUCUCUGACCCUGCCUCCAGUCUUCUGAUUACUGAUUUUCAUUACCUGAGAAACCUCCUGUGCAUAACCCUGGAUCGAUUCAACGACUCAGCCUCUGGUUGGUGGAUUUUGUCCCUGUCGUUUGUUUGUCCCCUGAGCCCCCACUGCCCAUUCACCCACCCUCCCCAAGCUGGAUUCCCGACCCCUGUGGAUCUGCCAUUCCUGACCUACC